rnacentral:rRNA from 1 species
AUGAGGUCAGACUUGGAGUUUCAACGCGUCUAUGAGUUCUUAUCGCGACUCCGUGGUGAGUUUGAGCCUCGACGUGCUCAAUUGUUUGCUCGUGGUCGUGUUCCUAUUUCUGAGGUGUUUUCUGAGCUUCGUGCUGAGGAGACUCGCCGACGUGGUGCCGGUUUGCUUCAGGUUCCUUCUGUGCUUGCGACUCAAGCUACUACUCCACCAGUAUCCUAUCGCUCCAGUGCUCCGCCGCUACUACCCACUCCUGGUAGUGAGGGCCACACUCGUGAGGGCCGCUCUCGUCCUCGUACUCAUUGUGGCUACUGCAACAGAGAUGGUCACCCCGAGUCUGAUUGCUUCAAGAAGAAGCGUGAUAUGCGUAAUAGGGAGCACAAUUCCUCUAUUGGGACUCGUGCUUCUUCCUCGACGUUGUCUACUGUCUCCUUGACCGAGCAAGAUAUUAUGAAGCUUAAGUGUCUGCUUGCUGCUUCAGGUACUUCGACAGGUACUACAGGCUCUGUGACUGGUGCUUCUAGUGUUGAGCGACCACCAUCUACACAGUCAGGAUCGUCACACCAAGGUCGUGGUUGGGGCUAG